AGUGAACGCUGGCGGUAGGCCUAACACAUGCAAGUCGAACGGCAGCACAGUAAGAGCUUGCUCGUACGGGUGGCGAGUGGCGGACGGGUGAGGAAUACAUCGGAAUCUACUUUUUCGUGGGGGAUAACGUAGGGAAACUUACGCUAAUACCGCAUACGACCUACGGGUGAAAGCAGGGGAUCUUCGGACCUUGCGCGAUUGAAUGAGCCGAUGUCGGAUUAGCUAGUUGGCGGGGUAAAGGCCCACCAAGGCGACGAUCCGUAGCUGGUCUGAGAGGAUGAUCAGCCACACUGGAACUGAGACACGGUCCAGACUCCUACGGGAGGCAGCAGUGGGGAAUAUUGGACAAUGGGCGCAAGCCUGAUCCAGCCAUACCGCGUGGGUGAAGAAGGCCUUCGGGUUGUAAAGCCCUUUUGUUGGGAAAGAAAAGCAGCAGGUUAAUACCCCGCUGUUCUGACGGUACCCAAAGAAUAAGCACCGGCUAACUUCGUG
rnacentral:rRNA from 1 species